rnacentral:rRNA from 1 species
GACGAACGCUGGCGGCGUGCUUAACACAUGCAAGUCGAACGGAAAGUCCCUACUGUUGUUUGGUACUCGAGUAACUAACAGGUGAGUAACACGUGAUUAACCGUCGCUUAACUGUGGGAUAACGUGAGGAAACUGUUGCUAAUGCCAGAUAGUAGCGCCUGCUACAUGGUGUGGGUUGGAAAUUUUCGGCGGUUGGGGAUGGACUCGCGGCUUAUCAGCUUGUUGGUGGGGUAGUGGCUUACCAAGGCAUUGACGGGUAGCCGGCCUGAGAGGGUGACCGGCCCCAUUGGGCCUGGGAUACGGGCAAGACUGAUACGGGAGGAAGCAGUGGGGAAUAUUCCACACUGGGCGGCAGCAUGAUGGAGCAACGCCGCGUCGUGGAUGACGGCCUUAGGGUUGUAACCCGCUUUAGCGUGUGAAGAAGAGUGAGUGACGGUAAUGUGCAAAGAAGCAACGGCUAACUACGUG